rnacentral:rRNA from 1 species
ACGCUCGACACCUACGGGAGGCUGCAGUGGGGAAUAUUGCACAAUGGGGGAAACCCUGAUGCAGCGACGCCGCGUGGAGGAAGAAGGUCUUCGGAUUGUAAACUCCUGUUGUUGGGGAAAAAGAGGAUGGUACCCAACAAGGAAGUGACGGCUAACUACGUGUCAGCAGUCGCGGUAAUCUGAGCGGGCUGGCAAGGC